UCGAGAAUUUUUCUCAAUGGGGGAAACCCUGAAGGAGCGACGCCGCGUGGGGGAUGAAUGGCUUCGGCCCGUAAACCCCUGUCAUUUGCGAACAAACCUUUCGGUCAAACAAAUCGAAAGCUGAUUGUAGCAGAAGAGGAAGGGACGGCUAACUCUGUGCCAGCAGCCGCGGUAAUACAGAGGUCCCAAGCGUUGUUCGGAUUCACUGGGCGUAAAGGGUGCGUAGGUGGCGGGGUAAGUUCGAUGUGAAAGCUCCGAGCUUAACUCGGAAAUGGCAUUGAAAACUAUCCUGCUAGAGGGUUGAAGGGGGGACUGGAAUUCUCGGUGUAGCAGUGAAAUGCGUAGAUAUCGAGAGGAACACCAGUGGCGAAGGCGAGUCCCUGGACAACUCCUGACACUGAGGCACGAAAGCUAGGGGAGCAAACAGGAUUAGAUACCCCCGUAGUCC
rnacentral:rRNA from 1 species